GGCACAGUAGCUUAGUGGUUAACAUGUUUGCCUCACACCUCCAGGGUUGGGGGCUCAAUUCCCAUCUCUGCCC